AUUGAACGCUGGCGGCAUGCUUUACACAUGCAAGUCGAACGGUAACAGGUUAAGCUGACGAGUGGCGAACGGGUGAGUAAUGCAUCGGAACGCGCCCGAUCGUGGGGGAUAACGCAGCGAAAGCUGCGCUAAUACCGCAUACGAGCUGAGGAUGAAAGCGGCGGACCGUAAGGCCUCGCGCGAUCGGAGCGGCCGAUGUCAGAUUAGGUAGUUGGUGGGGCAAAGGCUCACCAAGCCAACGAUCUGUAGCUGGUCUGAGAGGACGACCAGCCAGGGAAGUACUGAGACACGACCCAGACUACUACGGGAGGCAGCAGUGGGGAAUUUUGAACAAUGGGCGAAAGCCUGAUCCGGCAAUGCCGCGCGCAGGAAGAAGGCCUUCGGAUUGUAAACUGCUUUUGUACGGAGCGAAAAGGCCCUCUCUAAAUCAGUGGGCUCAUGACGGUACCGUAAGAAUAAGCACCGGCUAACUACGUGCCAGCCGCCGCAGUAA
rnacentral:rRNA from 1 species